rnacentral:rRNA from 1 species
CCUACGGGAGGCAGCAGUGAGGAAUAUUGGUCAAUGGGCGCGAGCCUGAACCAGCCAAGUAGCGUGAAGGAUGACUGCCCUACGGGUUGUAAACUUCUUUUAUAAAGGAAUAAAGUGAGGCACGUGUGCCUUUUUGUAUGUACUUUAUGAAUAAGGAUCGGCUAACUCCGUGCCAGCAGCCGCGGUAAUACGGAGGGUGCAAGCGUUACUCGGAAUCACUGGGCGUAAAGAGCGCGUAGGCGGGAUAGCAAGUCAGAUGUGAAAUCCUAUGGCUUAACCAUAGAACUGCAUUUGAAACUGUUAUUCUAGAGUAUGGGAGAGGUAGGCGGAAUGUAUGGUGUAGCGGUGAAAUGCUUAGAGAUCAUACAGAACACCGAUUGCGAAGGCAGCUUACCAAUCUAUAUCUGACGUUGAGGCACGAAAGCGUGGGGAGCAAACAGGAUUAGAUACCCGGGUAGUC